CCUACGGGUGGCAGCAGUGGGGAAUAUUGCACAAUGGGGGAAACCCUGAUGCAGCGACGCCGCGUGAGUGAAGAAGUAAUUCGUUACGUAAAGCUCUAUCAGCAGGGAAGAAAAUGACGGUACCUGAGUAAGAAGCCCCGGCUAACUACGGGCCAGCCGCCGCGGUAAUACGUAGGGGGCAAGCGUUCUCCCGCUUUACGGGGUGUAACGGGGGCGGAGACGGUGCGCCAAGUCUGGCCUGAAAUGCCGCAGCUUAACUGCGGCACUGAUUUGGACACGGGCGACCUAGAGUGCGUGAGGGCUCAGCUGCAUUCCUAGUGUAGCGGUGAAAUGCGUAGAUAUUAGGAGGAACACCUGUGGCGCGGGCGGCUUACUGGACCGUACCUGACGUUGCGGCUCUCAAGCGUGGGGAGCAAACAGGAUUAGAUACCCCAGUAGUC
rnacentral:rRNA from 1 species